UUUUUUUUACAUGCACGUUUACAUGUUUAUUAUAUUUUAAAAAUAAUUAGCACAAUAAUAAUUUUAGUACCUAUAUUACUAUAACAACAGCUUAUAUAUUGAAUAAUUCACAUAAUUCAUUAUGGACGACAUUUAACUUGGAAAUAAUUGCUAACGUCUUAUUAUUCUGUAUUUAAUUGGAUAGUAUUUUAAUUUAAAUUAAUACUUUACAAUAUGAGACAGAUAUUUAUAAUAAUAAAUAUAAUAAAAUAGUAGGCUUAUAAAUUAAAAUGUAAAACACUCUAAGAAAAUAUCAAAACAUGAGUAACAAACAGCAUUAUAGUAAAAUAAUCACUCGUAAUACAUUUUAUUUAUCAAUAGACUUUUUUUAAUGUACAUAUAUAUAUAUAUAAAUAUGAAUUAUUAAAAUAUACCUAAGCAAGUUUAAUGGAUUAAUUUAAUUAUUCUAAAACUUGAACGUAAAUUAAAGCAAAUUGUUUUCAAUUCAUAAAGAAAUCACAUUUUACAGUAGUUAUUUAAUAAUAAUAAUAAAAUUUAAAUGAUGCAUCAAUCAGUACAUUUAUAAUCAAUAUUCCUAACUUAUUAGUCUUUUUAUUAAUAUUAUUUAUGUUUACAAAAUGACAAAUAUUUAGGUACAUAGUUAACUCUGAAAAUGCAUUAAAUAAAAAACAUUACUAUAGAUAGUAAGAUAUUGAAAUUUGUAGGUAUGAAUAUCCUAACAAUCGUGGAAUACAUAUAAAAAAUAUUUUUCAACUGAUAUCACCUAGCACUGUUUCAAUAGCAAGCAUUAUUUUUAGCAACUUGCAUAACCCAUCAAUAAAAAAUAUGUCUUUCUAAUUCACAUAUAAUUUAUUACAAUAUUAGAUAAACUUAUAGAAUAUGUUUACAUUAGCCAACAAAUUAAGAAUCUACUUGUGAUAUACUUAGUUUUGGAUUUAAUAAAAUUACUUAAGAAGAGAAAAAAAUGUAUAAAUUGAUGCAAUCAUAUUGGAUAAAUAAAACGUAUGCAAAAUAAAUAAUUUGUACGUACUAUAUUUUAUUGCACAAUACAGAUACAUAAAAUUAUGUAUUAAUCUUAAUAAUUUUUUUACAGAGUUACCGAGAAUAAACUGGAAUAAAAUAUGGUUUUUUAAAUAUUGUACACUGCCAAUAUGGUAUAUUAUUUUAUUAAUUAAUAAUUGGUAUGAAAUAAGUACUGAAAUUAAAUUAAAAAUACUGUUUUUGUUAUAAAUAAUACUAUUGUAGUAUAUCAUAUUAGUAUUAUUAUUUAUUACUAAAUAAAUUUAAUAAAAGUUAUUAUUACAGUUUCAAAG